GCUCCCAUAGCUCAGUCGGUAGAGCACCUCAUUCGUAAUGAGGGGGUCGGCAGUUCGAGUCUGCCUGGGAGCU
rnacentral:tRNA from 3 species